AUAUAUGUCACGUCUGUCCGAAGAAGAAGAAUGGGACCAAGGCGCAGCGUGUGUAUCCUUCCACAUUUUAUUAUAACUGUGAAACGAUGCAAGACAUACAAAUAAACUAAUAAACAAAAACAACAAACCGUGACGAAGAGGUGCAACAUGCACUAACUCAAAAUAAUCUCCCACAAACCCAGGUGGGAAAAACAUCUACUUAAAUAUGAUCCCCAAUUAGAGACAACGAUGACCAGCUGCUCUAAUUGGAGAUCAUCCCAAAAAAACAGUCUUUAGCGAUUUUUAGGGUCUUCCUCUGACAUCGCCUGGUAUAGAGAGGUCCUGGAUGGCAGGAUGCUUGGCCCCAGUGAUGUACUGGGCCGUACGCACUACCCUCUGUAGUGUCUUGUGGUCGGAGGCUGAGCAGUUGCCAUACCAGGCAGCAAAGUAACCAGUCAGGAUGCUCUUGAUGGUGUAGCUGUAGAACUUUUUUGAGGAUCUGAGGACCAAUAAUACAUCUUUGAGUCAAUGAGAAUGGGGGUGUGCUAGGCCCUCCUUCUCCUGUAGUCAACGAUCAUCUCUUUGGUCUUGAUCACUUUGAGGGAAAGGUUGUUAUCCUGACACCAGACUGCCAGGUCUCUGACCUCCUCCCUAUAGUCUGUACCACUGUUGUGUCGUCGGCAAACUUAAUGAUGUUGUUGUAGUCAUGCUUGGCUACGCAGUCAUGGGUGAACAGGGAGUACAGGAGGGGACUGAGCACGCACCACUGAGUGGUGGAUCAGCCUGUUGAGGAUCAGCGUGGCAGAUGUGUUGUUACCUACCCUUACCACCUGGGGGCGGCCCGUCAGGAAGUCCAGGAUCCAGUUGCAGAGGGAGGUGUUUAGUCCCAGGAUCCUUAGCUUAUUGAUGAGCUUUGUGGGCACUAUGGUGUUGAACACUGAACUGUAGUCAAUGAAUAACAUUCUCACAUAGGUGUUCCUUUUGUCCAGGUGGGAAAGGGCAGUGUGGAGUGCAAUAGAGAUUACAUCCUCUGUGGAUCUGUUGGGGCGGUAUGCAAAUUGGAGUGGGUUUAGGGUUUCUGGGAUAAUGGUGUUGAUGUGAGCCAUGACCAGCCUUUCAAAGCAUUUCAUGGCUACAGACGUGAGUGUUACGGGUCGGUAGUCAUUUAGGCAGGUUGCCUUGGUGUUCUUGGGCACAGGGACUAUGGUGGUCUGCUUGAAACAUGUUUGUAUUACAGACUUAGUCAGGGAAAGGUUGAAAAUAUCAGGGAAGACCCUUGCCAGUUGGUCAGCGCAUGCUCGGAGUACACGUCCUGGUGAUCCGUGUGGCCCUGCGGCCUUGUGAAUGUUGACCUGUUUAAAGGUCUUACUCACAUCGGCUACGGAGAGCGUGAUGUCACAGUCGUCCAGAACAGCUGGUCUUACCGGGAUCCGACACAUAACGAAAAAAAACAAAACAAUACAGACAAAAUUCUUUAUUUCCAUCCAUUUAAAUCAUUAACAUGUAGCGUGUCUAUGCAUCUAUCAGUUCCACAUACAUGUCAGUACAUACACACAACACGUAGCUCGCAUGGGGGAGAGGCAUUGUGCUGAGAGGUGUUGCUUUUUGGGGGAGGGAAACCAGGUUUGCUGUAUGAGAUGGAAGAGACUUCCAUGCACUCAUGGCUCAGUAUAAUACUGUAUGUUUCCUUGAAUUUGUUCUGGACCUGGGAACUGUGAAAAGACCCCUGGUGGCAUGUCUGGUGGGGUAAGUGUGUGUGUGUGUGUCAGUGCUGUGUGUAAGUUGACUAUGCAAACUAUUUGGAAUUUCAAACAUAUUAAUGUGUCUUAUGAAAACAAGAUGAUAGUACUGUAGUAAUGACAGAAUGGUCAACAUAAUAUUAGGUAAUGACAGAAUGGUAAACAUAAUAGUACUUAAUGACAGAAUGGUCAACACAAUAGUACUGUGGUAAUGACAGAAUGGUCAACAUAAUAGUACUGUAGUAAUGACAGAAUGGUAAUGACAAUAUUUCCUACUUUAACAGACAUUAAAAGCAAGGCGCAGUACAGGAAUGAACUAUUGCAGUCACGUCAUACUCAAACAGUAAAUUAAUGUUCCUUUUUUUGUUAACAGCAUUUUAAACAAAUGACAUUUCUAAUGACAUCGUCACGAUAUAAGUUACUUACCGUAAAGUAACAUAUGUAUCUUAAUAAACGAUAAGACUUAAAGUUGUGCAUUUAUAAAGGCCAGACAACGCCUA
rnacentral:lncRNA from 1 species